GGGACUGUUAGGUUUCUACAUAUAAUACAAAAUGUUUAGAUAAUAGGGAACAAAUAAAAGUUAAACUUGAUAGUUUUUAGUCUCAAAGUAAAUGCAAAACAUCAAAUAAUUCCUUUCUCUAAAAAUAUUGUAUUAGUAUAAUCAUUUCUCAUAUUAUUGAUUCGAUAUUUCUUAGAAUAUUAUAAAAUAAAUUUCAUGUUAUUUUAUAGUCAGUCAAUUAAUGAAUGCGCUUAUAAAUUUUGAAAAUAAGCUAAGUUUUAACAAAUUAGACCUUUUCCCUUUUACUUAGAUAUAUCAAGUAAGCUUCACAUCUUGUUUUAAUAUGGACGUGGGUUCAAAUCCCACCA
rnacentral:tmRNA from 1 species